rnacentral:rRNA from 1 species
ACUAAUCCUAGCCCAUAUUAACANAUAUUAAAACUAAAUAACAUUNAUAACCUAACUCAAAUAAAACAUUCACCNCUAAUAAAAGUAUAGGAGAUAGAAAUUAUUAANACUGGAGCUAUAGAGCUANGUACCGCAAGGGAAAGAUGAAAGAAACAACUUNAUAGUAUAAUAAAGCAAAGACUUAACCUUUUACCUUUUGCAUAAUGAAUUAACUAGAAAUAAUUUUGCAAAAAGAACUUAAGCUAAAAACCCCGAAUCCAGACGAGCUACUUAUGAGCAGCNUUCCCGAGCCAAUCCAUCUAUGUAGCAAAAUAGUGGAAAGACUCCUAAGUAGAGGUGAAAAGCCUAUCGAGCCUGGUGAUAGCUGGUUAUCCAGAUAAGAAUUUUAGUUCAACUUUAAAUUUACCUCAUGAAUNUUAUNNAAUCUAAACGUAAAUUUAAUUGUUAGUCUAAAGAGGGACAGCUCUUUAGACNCUAGGAAAAAACCUUCACUAGAGAGUAAGNUUACGUAACUGCCAUAGUUGGCCUAAAAGCAGCCAUCAAUUAAAAAAGCGUUCAAGCUUAACUAANAUAUAUCAAAUCUAAUUUAAAUANNUUAAUACUACCUCCCAAUUUUCNACUGGAUUAAUCUAUAACNUAACUAUAGAAGCAAUAAUGUUAAUAUUAGUAACAAGAAAAUNNUUUCUCCCUGCAUAAGUCUAUAUCAGAUCGAAUGAAUCACUGAUAGUUAACCAAAUUAUAAUUNNUAACUCUCCAACCCUAACCAUUAUUAUAUAUAAUGUUAAUCCAACACCGGAAUGCANCUCAAGGGAAAGAUUAAAAGAAGUAAAAGGAACUCGGCAAACACUAACCCCGCCUGUUUACCAAAAACAUCACCUCUAGCANUUAACAGUAUUAGAGGCACUGCCUGCCCAGUGACAUAUGUUAAACGGCCGCGGUAUCCUGACCGUGCAAAGGUAGCAUAAUCAUUUGUUCCUUAAAUAGGGACUUGUAUGAAUGGCUAAACGAGGGUUUAUCUGUCUCUUACUUCCAAUCAGUGAAAUUGACCUUCCCGUGAAGAGGCGGGAAUUACCUAAUAAGACGAGAAGACCCUAUGGAGCUUAAAUUUAUUAANNUUCAAGCACUCUACCAUUAAAUCUACGAGAGACAAACUUCUGCCUAAUGAAUUAAAAAUUUCGGUUGGGGUGACCUCGGAGCACAAUCUAACCUCCGAAUGAUAUUAAUCUAGANNCAAAACCAGUCUAAAUUUAAACUCAUAAAUUGACCCAAACUANUUGAUCAACGGAACAAGUUACCCUAGGGAUAACAGCGCUAUCCCACUCAAGAGUUCAUAUCGACAGNUGGGGUUUACGACCUCGAUGUUGGAUCAGGACAUCCAAAUGGUGCAGCAGCUAUUAAUGGUUCGUUUGUUCAACGAUUAAAGUCCUACGUGAUCUGAGUUCAGACCGGAGCAAUCCAGGUCGGUUUCUAUCUAUUANNUGGNAUUUCUCCCAGUACGAAAGGACAAGAGAAAUAAGGCCUAUNCCCACGACAUGCCUUAUAGGUAAUAAAUGAAAUAAUCUCAAUUUAAUCAACUACACACACGCGCCCUAGACAAGGGCUA